rnacentral:rRNA from 1 species
AACGAACGCUGGCGGUGUGCUUAACACAUGCAAGUCGAACGAGAAAGUUUCCUUCGGGAAGCUAGUAAAGUGGCGCAAGGGUGAGUAACACGUGAAUAAUCUGCCCUCGAGAUCGGGAUAACCUGAGGAAACUUAGGCUAAUACCGGAUAAGCCCACAUUUCAUAUGAAAUGUGGGAAAAGGAGUCUCAAUCUUCACUCGAGGAUGAGUUCGCGGACCAUUAGCUUGUUGGUGAGAUAACAGCUCACCAAGGCUACGAUGGUUAGCCGGCCUGAGAGGGUGAACGGCUACACUGGGACUGAGACACGGCCCAGACUCCUACGGGAGGCAGCAGUGGGGAAUAUUGGACAAUGGGGGAAACCCUGAUCCAGCAAUGCCGCGUGAGUGAAG